rnacentral:rRNA from 1 species
AUGGAAAGCUACAAUCCUUACUGCGGAAUAAGGCACCUACAUGUCUUCAUCGAUGUUGUUUUUCGAUUGAAAGACUGAGGGACUUUACACUAUCCGAACUUAUACUUCAUGAAAUGGUUCAUGCAUGUCUAUUACCGAGGGCAACAAGAUCAAGUUGGUAAAGAUUAAAAUACAUCUUUAUUUUUUUAUUUAUUUCUAUAAUCCAUGAUCAUAAAGGGGCCCCUUUACCGUUUUAUACAAAUUAAAUAUAAAAAGCGAUUCUCGUAGUAGCGGCAAGCGAAAUGAAAAUAGGGUUGUGGGAGAGCAAUACAAGUGUUGUGCUGCCAGGCGAAGUGGUGGAAUGUUGCACCCUAGAUGGCAAGAGUUCAGUAGUUGAAAGCAUCAGUAGUUUAUACUCUUACCUAAGUAGCAUGGGGCAAAUGGAAUCCUGUGUUAAUUAGUAAGGACCACCUUGAUAGGCUAAAUACUCUCAGGUGACGAAUAGCGAAGUAGUACUGUGAGGAAAGGUGAAAAAAACCCUAUCGAAGAGUGAAAUAGAACAUAAAACUAUAAGCUUCUAAAUAGUGGGAGGAGCCCAUGAAUUUGAUCCUGUGCCUAUUGAAGAAUGAGUCGACAACUUAUAGGCAGUGGCUUAGUUAAGGGCACCCACCAGAAUCGUAGUGAAAGCGAGUUUUUACAGACCAAUUGUCAUUAUUUAUGGACCCGAACCUGAGUAAUCUAUCCAUGACUAAGAUGAUCCUUGGGUGAAACUAAUUAGAGGUCUGAACCGACUGAUAUUGAAGAAUUAGCGUAUAAGUUAUGGCUAGGGUGAAAUGCCAUUCAAACCUAGAGCUAGCUAGUUCUCCCCAAAAUGUGUUGAGGCAUAGCAGUUGAUUGGAUAUCCAGAGGUAAAACACUGUUUCGGUGCAGGCCUUGAGAGGUACCAAAUCAAGACAAACUCUGAAUACUAGAUAUGACCUUAAAAUAACAAGGGUUAAGCUUAGCCAAUGAGAUGAUAGUGGAUAAGCUUCAUCGUCGAAAGGGAAACAGCUCAGAUUACUAGCUAAGGCCCUUAAAUAAAUGUUUAGUGAUAAAAGAGGUAAGGGUGUAGAGAUAACCAUGAGGUUUUCCUAACAGUAGCCACCUUUAAAAGAGUGUACAUUAGCUCACUAAUCAAGUGCUCUUGCACCAAAGAUAAAUGGGGCUAAGCAAUUUGUCAAAGUUGUGAGAUGUAAAAAUGCAUCGAUAUAGAAGCGUUUCGCCUUAAAGGGAAACGCCUACACGAGUGACAAUAGACGAAGCAGAAGCAAAACUGUCGGCUUGAAUAAUACAAACAUUGGUAAAAAUUCAGUGCCUCGAAAACCCGAGGGUUCCUCUACAUUAUUUACCUACAGAGUCAGGGUCUAAGAUCAGGCUGAAAGGCAUAGUUGAUGGACAAUAGAUGAAUAUUUCUGUACUAUCCCUUAUUGGUGCCGAGGGAUGAAAGAAGCUAGGUUAGUGGAAAGAUGGUUAUUGAUUCAAUUAAGUGAGAUGCCCCUACUUUUCACAGCAAAAAGGGGUAGAGAAAAUACCCCUAACCAAUGUUUGCGUAAUAGAUGCUAUGACACUAAAGUAACCUAUGAUAUACUCCUAGGAAAAGCUCGAACAACCUUUAAUAAAAGGGUACCUAUAUCUAAAACUAACACGGAUGGGUAGGUAGAGAAUACCUAGGGGCAUGAGAUAACUCUCUCUAAGAAACUUGACAAAAUAGCCUCGUAACUUCGAGAAAAAAGGUACUUUUUUAUAAAAGGGGUCGUAGUGACUAGGCACGGGCGGCUGUUUACCAAAAACACAAGUCUCUACAAAGUCAUAAGACCAUGUAUGAGAGCUGAUGCCUAUUCAGUGCCGGAAGGUCAAGAAGUUGGUGAUCGAUGACAAAGGAGCCAGUAACCGAAGCCCCGGUGAACAGCGGUCAUAACUAUAAUAGUUUUACGGUAGUGAAAUUACUUGUCGAGUAAGUUCCAAACUGUAAAAAAGACGUAACGAUCUGGGCACUAUCUUAGAGAGAGGCUCGGUGAAAUAGACAUAUCUAUGAAGAUACAAAUUACCUGCACUUGGACAGAAAGACCCUAUAAAGUUUCACUAUUCCCUGAGAAUGGCUUUAGGCUUUUUCUACACAGCUUAAGUGGAAGUUGAAGAAGGCCUUCUUUCGAAGGGGCCCGAGCCAUCAGAGAGUACUAAUUUAGAAGAGUUAAAAUUCUAACAACAUGCUAAGACCGACAAGCCAAGAGACAGUCUCAAAUAGAUAGUUUUUAUAGGGUGUAUGCCUCUUAUAAGCGUGCAAAGAUUUCUUUGGGGCCAAACAGAGAUUGACCUUCGAGUGCAAAGGUAAAAGAAAGCUUGAUUGCAAGACCUACCUGUCGAGUAAGGAUGAAAGUCGACCUUAGUGACCUAAUAAUAUUGAGUGGAAGGGCUAUUACUUAAUGGAUAAAAUUUACUCUAUGGAUAACAGGCUGAUCUUCCCCAAGAGCUCACAUCAACAAGAAGGUUUGGCACCUUAAUGUCGGCUUUUUGCCACCUAAAGCUGUAAUAUGUUCUAAGGGUUAGGUUGUUUGCCUAUUAAAGCAGUAUGUGAGCUGGGUUUAAAAUUUUGUGAGAUAGUUCGAUCCAUAUCUGUUAAAAGCAUCUACGUAAUAAGCCCACCCCAAGAUGAGUGCUCUUCUAUUCUGACUUCACUAUAGCCUCCAGUAGCACAGUCGAGACAACAAUGGGUUCUCUGCCUUUGUGGGGAUAGAGCGAUAAAAGUUUUGAGAAAUCAAGAGAAGGUCACGGUGACACGAGCCGUUUAUCAUUAUGAUAGGUGUCAAGUGGAAGUGUCGCCAUUAUUUUCAUUUUCAACUCUUUGACAACACGGAAAAACCACU